ACACGACUCUCGGCAACGGAUAUCUCGGCUCUCGCAUCGAUGAAGAACGUAGCGAAAUGCGAUACCUGGUGUGAAUUGCAGAAUCCCGCGAACCAUCGAGUCUUUGAACGCAAGUUGCGCCCGAGGCCAUUCGGCUGAGGGCACGCCUGCCUGGGCGUCACGC
rnacentral:rRNA from 3 species